UGGGAUGUAGCUCAGUGGUAGAGUCUAACCUGGCAUGCAAAAAGCCCUGGGUUCAAUUCUCAGCAUUACAA
rnacentral:tRNA from 1 species